rnacentral:rRNA from 1 species
UGCAAGUCGAACGAAGUAUGUUUUUCGAAAUAUACUUAGUGGCGGACGGGUGAGUAACGCGUGAACAAUCUGCCCUGUACAAAGGAAUAGCCUCGGGAAACUGGGAUUAAAACCGUAUAACACUUUUUGACCGCAUGGUUGAGAAGUCAAAUUGAUUAAGAGGUAUGGGAUGAGUUCGCGUCUGAUUAGCUAGUUGGUAAGGUAAAGGCUUACCAAGGCGACGAUCAGUAGCCGGCCUGAGAGGGUGAACGGCCACACUGGAACUGAGACACGGUCCAGACUCCUACGGGAGGCAGCAGUGGGGAAUAUUGCACAAUGGAGGAAACUCUGAUGCAGCGACGCCGCGUGAGUGAAGAAGGUCUUCGGAUCGUAAAACUCUGUCCUUGGUGAAGAAAGAAAUGACGGUAGCCAAGGAGGAAGCCCCGGCUAACUACGUGCCAGCAGCCGCGGUAAUACGUAGGGGGCGAGCGUUGUCCGGAUUUACUGGGCGUAAAGGGUGAGUAGGCGGUAAUAUGUGUCA